UACGUAGGGUGCACGCGUUGUCCGGAAUUCCUGGGCGUCAAGGGCUCGUCGGUGGUUUGCCGCGUCGUCGGUGAACUUCCGGGGCUUCCCUCCGGGCGUGCCGGCGAUCCGGGCCCACUGGAGUGCUGUCGGGGAGACUGGAAUUCCUGGUGUCGCGGUGGCAUGCGCAGAUAUCAGGAGGAACACCGAUGGCGAAGGCAGGUCUCUGGGCAGUUACUGACACUGAGGAGCGAAAGCAUGGGUAGCGAACAGG
rnacentral:rRNA from 1 species